CACUUUGCAAUCAAAGUUUUUCUUUGGUCUGCAUUUUGCCAAUAUAAUGUAAACCUGCAUGUUCUAUACUUUUCAGAGGUGGAGAAAACAAAAAGAGAUGGUGUAUAGCAGGAUGUUGAGGACAACAUUUUGCGGCGCCUGGUCUAAGGUUUCAGGAUAGGAAGGUCAAACGCACUUGCCUUUCUACUGCAGACCUAGGUCAAAGCACAUUCUCAGACCUGAACAACCAAGGGUUUCGUACUUCGAGUCCAUGCCUACCGGUUCGGCCAGCGUCAUGCCUUGGGUCAGGAUCCCUCUUGCAUAACAAAAUGUGUACCUACAUACUUGCACACUUCUCCGGCACUGCCAUGUGUUGUUAAACCCCC